UACUUACCACUAUACUACAACGACUUUAUGUUAUGAUAAUUGUGUAUUAACUAUUCUUCUUAUAGUAAUAAUCACAUUUAGGAAUUGAAUUAGAAAUUGUGUUACCUUUAAAAAGAAAAAGGAAAUUAGAAAUAGGCCCCACGCUGUCAUCGUCCCAGACUCCAGCAGCUGCAGUUUGAGCUCACUGUUACUGAUCAAUUCUUACUUUCAUGGGCAACAAAGACAAGGCUAGAGAGAGGAGAGAGAAAAGGCAUCAAGAUAUCUCUCUCCUCCGAGCAAUUCCCUAUUCCGAUCACCAGCGGUAAAUAAUCAACAACUUCUAUUCUACUAGUGUAAUCUUAUUCUGUUUUCAGAAAUUUCAUGAUUUCAGUUUUUUAAGCUGCAAAAUCUCAAUCAAGACGGUGUGAUCAGGCCUACCACAAGCUUGUUUAUUUCUUCUCUAUUUUAUCGGAGUGGUUUUUGAAUCAUGUUUUAAGGUGUUCGACAUUUCAAGGAUUAGGAAUUUUAGGGCACGAGUCCCAGAGGGGGAAUAGAUUUCAUAUUUUGCUAGGUUGUUUGAAUUCUGGCGUUUGAUUGGUCCUGUAGUUGUGUCUGUAUACACAAUUGAUAUUGCAUACAAUCUGUUGGGAAAUCAGUGUAGUUGUGUCUGUAUACACAAUUGAUAUUGCAUACAAUUGAUAUUGCAUACAACCUGUAGUUGUGUCUGUAUACACAAUUGAUAUCUGGCGUUUGAUUGUUGAUGAUGUCUUUUGAGGACAUGAAUAUCCUUAUGGCAUGUCCAAUGGCCAUGAUAGAGGAUGUGACGAUGUUAGUUGUUAGUUGGACCACAUGUGCAUGGUUUUUGGCAUGAAUGCAGGUGUGUGGUGAAAAGUAUGUCGAUGGCUGAUGACUUCUAGGAGGGCCAAAAGCUAGAAGGUUGCACCAAAA
rnacentral:lncRNA from 1 species